rnacentral:pre_miRNA from 1 species
CUACAGUGCUUGAUUCUUUAUAGGUGUUCAGUAAGUGUUUGUCAUAUAAUCCAUUUACUGAGCACCUCCUAUCAAUCAAGCACUGUUCUAGGCUCUGU